AUUGAACGCUGGCGGCAGGCCUAACACAUGCAAGUCGAGCGGAGCGGCGGACGGGUGAGUACUGCCUAGGAAUCUGCCUGGUAGUGGGGGAUAACGUCCGGAAACGGGCGCUUAUACCGCAUACUAUCAGAUGAGCCUAGGUCGGAUUAGCUAGGUGGUGGGGUAAAGGCCUACCAAGGCGACGAUCCGUCACUGGUCUGAGAGGAUGAUCAGUCAAACUGGAACUGAGACACGGUCCAGACUCCUACGGGAGGCAGAAGUGGGGAAUAUUGGACAAUGGGCGCAAGCCUGAUGCAGCCAUGCCGCGUGUGUGAAGAAGGCCUUCGGGUUGUAAAGCACUUUCAGCGGGGAGGCGUUACCCGCAGAAGAAGCACCGGCUAACUCCGUGCCAGCAGCCGCGGUAAUUC
rnacentral:rRNA from 1 species